UUUUCAAACGGUCUAAUUUUUGAAAAUUCUUUUUAAAAAUUUCAAGCCCUAAAUUGAAAUUCUGCUUCCAACAGUCACUAGAAUUUAACUUUCUCCCUCAAAGGCAGCAAAUUUCAUUAAAAUCGGUCUAAGGGUUAUCUCAGAAAAGCGUUAUGCGUUUUACAUGUACUUGAAUAGUUGGUGUUGGGCCCGAGCUAAAGCUUCCUCUGACACUGAAGUUUUGACACUGAGCUAAAGUACAUGACUGUAAACAAAAAAACAUAUAUCAAUACAUGUUUUUACUUCCAUGUGCUCAAUAUACGGACAUGUGGCAUUGAGGUGCUAACGUCGACGCAAUGUGCUGUGCUUCCCAGAUGCAUUCUCUUGCCUUGCACAGGAUAGCUUGGCGUCACUCGCAAUUUGUUUGUAGUCUAUGCCUGCACCAAGCAUCUACUGCCAGUUUUAGAUAACACAUUAGGGCCAUUUUGGAGCUUUGGGUUCCACCCAUUGAUCACACAGUAUAUUUUGCCUAAUGUUUGUUUGUAAUUAUUGUUUACAGCUCCUAAGGUCUGUGCCAUGUCAAUUGGGUGUACCCAUAAAUUGUAAACCCAACAGUUGCUAGUGUUCACGGUAGAAUGUGCAUGGCUUGAGUAAAAGCAGCCUAUGGUGCGUACAGUAGAUGGGAAAAAAAAAGGGUUCUUUUUCUCAAGUUUCGUUUUAGCAAAGGGGACAGAAAUUGCUCAGAAUCAUUUAAUUUGGUAUUCGUCCUAGUAUUUAUAUAUUACUGUGGUGAAGAAAAAAAAAAUACUGUUCUGCUUCUAAUGUUGUAGCAUCUUUUGUGCAAAGGUAUCCUCAUGCGCGAACUGAUUUCCAAUAACUCUGCACAGUCCUCGUGUUCAAAAUAUUCCAACUCCAUCUCUUGCUGUCUACUCCAAAACAGUAAUGCGCACUGGCACAGUAAUAUCCUUGUCAAUAGGGUCUUUGCCACAAGCUUCACGGGUUAUAUUUUCAACGGCCUCCUCGGAGCAGGUAACAAGGGCAUCAUCUGAGGUCUUAUUCCUUGCGGUGCGACCAAAAUAGGGGCAGCUUGACUACAAGAUCCUACCAUAGUGUUUUCUUCCUUGUCGUGGAUCAUCACUCAUGAUGGAAACACCAUUGCAACUUCGACAUCGUUAUUUUCAUAAAGUUUCCUGCAACUGCUUGAUGGAUUGGAUUUUCUUCAUUACUUAUAGCCUCACAAUUAGACAUCUUUGUAGGGCUGUUCCUGUUCUAUACACCAAUGAGGUAGGUGGUAGUUUUUGCUCAAGUUCGUUUGACAGGAGUUCACAAAAAGAUGGGUUCCAUAUAACUCGAGUCUAUUAACACUGUGCCUAUGGGCAGCUAACCAAAGUUGGUACCAGUGUUCAGUUAAUCUGGCAAUACAUUCAAGUGAGUUUCUUUUAUCUGGAUUCCACUGUAAUGCUAGACCGGUAGUUCAUGGCAUCCCCUGUAGGUGCUCCCGGGGUAUAGGACAGUGCAUUGCUAUUGAGCCAUGUGAAAGGAAAGUAAUUAUUUCUUUGGGAAUAUAUUCAUUAAAAGCUCUUGAGUGUGUCGUCAGUUUUGAAGGAACCUUUAACCUCUUCCAGCCUGUUGUAAUGAUUUUGCGACAUUCUGAACCUGAGCUGAUAAAUCCAAACUGGAGAUUUAAGCAAAAGAAAUCCUGAUUUUGAUGUGUUUUCUAGUCCAGCAAAAACACGUCGGGGUGUCCGCGUGUCUGAAAACAAUGCUUUGUGCAUAGUGCUUCCAGUGAGAGUGAACGCUCCAAGAGACCUGUGCAUCAAUUAAAGUGGUCGUCUCUGCAAUACUGACUGUUUUACAGACUGCCAUAGGAUGCGAGACGAUUCACCUCAAUGCAAAUACAUUCGAAUAUAAAGACUGUUUUACAGACUGCCAUAGGAUGCGAGACAAUUCACCUCAAUGCAAAAACAUUCGAAUAUAAAGGCAUGCUUUUACGCUAGAUGCCCAUUUCAGUUUUCUUUAGACUAGUCUCAUCAGGAAAAAAGAUUCAGGCUGUAAGAGGUCAAGGUGCUGAAAAGGAGCGCAAGUAGACAAACUUUCUGCUAGUAAGUCCAGAGACUAGCAAACCUUCUAGCAAGUCAUCGCGAUGCACAGUAUGCGAUAGAAUGCACUUUGCCACACCCUUAUGCAUUGUAGAGCUAGCACUGAGUGCGAUAAUGCAGCAUCUAUUGCAGGAUUUUCACUAAACAAUAAAUGGAUUUCCUCUGGAUGACUUUUUUCACAGAGGCACACAUUUGAAAAUGAUUUGAUGUAGUAAUUGGCCCAAAUUGAAGAUUUAAAGCGUGUCAUCAGGGGAGCUUCAUUUCCAGAAAUGAAAAGAGUUGACGCUGCUAAUUUUUGCAGGGUAUUUCCAGCCGAUUUCACACACAAAAAGAAGAACUGAAGUGUUGAAGAGGGCAACUGUUAGACGCUUUUGGUUAGCAGCACAACCAGUGAUGUAGGAAGUGCGAGCUGUUGCUUGCUGUGUCUCUCAUUGCACUGCUAACCAAAGCUUACCAACAUGCCCACCCUUGAUACGCGUAUCGGACGUUGGUUGAUAAUAGCCGAAAGAUAAUGACAGCUCAGAGGAUGAAGGCAUUCUGCUUUGGUACUGGAGAGUUUUAAGCACAGCAUUAACCGGCUGCCCAUACUUUGCAUGUGCAGUGCUUACUGGAAUGACUCCGCUGGUUACCGUGACUGUAUAACGACAUGGCAGUGCUCAGGCUUCGAUCCUAUUUCACAGGUGUUAUAUACUGUUCGAUUGUGACAGCAAGAAAUAAAAGUCUGUUUUCGCUUAGUCUCUUUCUCGCUCCAACAAAAAAGUAUCGGUGAUGUUUUGAAGUUGCAGGGGAACCAUGAUGCCAUUUCGUACGAUUUUCCAGUGCCAAUGUUUGCGAUCGAAAACACAAAGCAUGAUCCGAUACAGUGAUCCUUCUUUUUUUCUUUUUACUGGUUAAUAUGUUCCCGGAAAAUUGGAUCUUUUGGCAACAUUGUUUAGUACAUUGCCAAUCUGCGAUGUCAAGAUACGCUUUCUGGCCGCUAGAUCCCAUGUGAUCAAGAAUAAGUGUCAAAUGACUUAUUGGGUGAAAUGUAGCUCCACUAACGUCAAACCUGGGGAGGUGCAAAACAUGCAGUGAUGCACCGCUAGUGGGGUCAUACUGCCUUAAGCAAUGGCUCAUAACCCCAUAAAUGCGACCUCCCC
rnacentral:lncRNA from 1 species